AGAGUUUGAUCAUGGCUCAGGAUGAACGCUGGCGGCGUGCUUAACACAUGCAAGUCGAACGGUGAAGCCCAGCUUGCUGGGUGGAUCAGUGGCGAACGGGUGAGUAACACGUGAGCAAUCUGCCCCUGACUCUGGGAUAAGCGCUGGAAACGGCGUCUAAUACUGGAUAUGAACCGUGGAGGCAUCUUCAACGGUUGGAAAGAUUUUUUGGUCAGGGAUGAGCUCGCGGCCUAUCAGCUUGUUGGUGAGGGUAAUGGCUCACCAAGGCGUCGACGGGUAGCCGGCCUGAGAGGGUGACCGGCCACACUGGGACUGAGACACGGCCCAGACUCCUACGGGAGGCAGCAGUGGGGAAUAUUGCACAAUGGGCGCAAGCCUGAUGCAGCAACGCCGCGUGAGGGAUGACGGCCUUCGGGUUGUAAACCUCUUUUAGCAGGGAAGAAGCGAAAGUGACGGUACCUGCAGAAAAAGCGCCGGCUAACUACGUG
rnacentral:rRNA from 1 species